rnacentral:rRNA from 1 species
UACGAGGGGGGCGAGCGUUGUUCGGAUUUACUGGGCGUAAAGGGCGCGCAGGCGGUCUUGAAGGUCAGGCGUGAAAGCCCCGGGCUUAACCUGGGAAUUGCGCUUGAUACUCUGAGACUGGAGUACGGGAGAGGAGAGUGGAGUUCCCAGUGUAGAGGUGAAAUUCGUAGAUAUUGGGAAGAACACCAGUGGCGAAGGCGGCUCUCUGGACCGUAACUGACGCUGAGGCGCGAAAGCGUGGGGAGCAAACAGG